rnacentral:tRNA from 2 species
GCAGUCGUGGCGCAAUUUGGCAGACGCGCUGUCUUCAGGUGGCAGAUGUUGUGGGUUCGAGUCCCACCGACUGUA